rnacentral:rRNA from 1 species
AUUGAACGCUGGCGGCAGGCCUAACACAUGCAAGUCGAACGAGUGGCGGACGGGUGAGUAAUGUAUGGGAAUCUGCCUGCUGGAGGGGGAUAACUACUGGAAACGGUAGCUACUCCCGCAUACUAUCGGAUGUGCCCCGAUGGGAUUAGCUAGUGGGGGGGGUAAACGCGCACCUAGUCGACGAUCCCGAGAUGGUCUGAGAGGAUGACCAGCCAACCUGGAACUGAGACACGGUCCAGACUCCUACGGGAGGCAGCAGUGGGGAAUAUUGCACAAUGGGCGCAAGCCGGAUGCAGCCAUGCCGCGUGUAUGAAGAAGGCCUUCGGGUUGUAAAGUACUUUCAGCGGGGAGGCGUUACCCGCAGAAGAAGCACCGGCUAACUCCGUGCCAGCAGCCGCGGUAAUUC